ensembl:lncRNA
AAGAGGGGGUGUGAAGAACAUUAUCUGCUUUGAAAUUUGUCCCUAACCCUUUCCUUUAGCACAUGAUAUGUUAGAGGUAUCACGAAACCAGUCAUUUCAUGAAAUGACUGAAAUUUUCAGUCAUUUUUCAAAAUGACUCCUUCACUCACUCAUUUGGCAAAAUGACUAAAAGUUUCAUGCAUUUUAUGAAAUGACUGACGUGCUGGAUAUUCUGCUACACUAUUUGACUGUUUGUUUCAUUCAGUAACAGGCAUAUUGUGAAAAAGGAGUUGCUGGAGAAAGAUCCUUUGCUUUUUUGCAGUCACUGCUGAAGAAGGCUCUGAAUUUUGAAAGCAGCUUCAGAAAAGAACUUUACAAAAAGUAUAGGAAGUUCCCAACUACCUGACACUUAAUGCUGUGAAACUACUGCUGAGUUCUAAAAUGCAAGCCAACAUCCCAAAUCAAAGCCAAGAUAUGAGUACUACCUGCCUGCCAGGUAUGAAAUUCUAUACUGCGGUGACAGUGUUUCUAAUCAAGAAUUGUUGGACUAAAGAAGCAUCUCUCAUAUUCUCUCCCCCAUUGAGACACUGAAUGGCUGCUCUCAGAUCUCCCCAGAGCCUUCUCCAAGUUGAACAGCCCCAGCUCUCUCAGUCUGUUCUCAUAGGAGAUGUGUUUCAUCCGUUGGAACAUUUGUGUCCCUCCUCUGUUUGUGCACCAGCAGGUCCAUGUCUCUCCUGUACUGAGGACUCCACAGUUGGAUGCAGUACUCCAGGUAAGGUCUCACCAGCACAGAGCAAAAGGGCAGGAUCACCUCCCACAUUUCUUUGGAUGCAGCCCAGGACAUGGUUCCAGGACAUGGUUGGCUUUCUGAGCUGUGAGGGCACAUUGCAGGAUCAUAUCCAACUUGCCAUCCACCAGCACUCCCAGGUCUUUUUUGGAGUGGCUACACUCAAUCCUUUCCUCCCCCAGCUUGUACUGAUAGUGGAAGUUGUCAUGAUCCAGGUGCAAACCCAGUGCAAGACCUUGCAUUUGGAUUUAUUGAGCCUCAUGAUGUUCACCUGGGC